GGAGCUGUGCCUGAAGUAAAGGGCCACUUUGAUAGAGUGACUCAUGAGGGUUAAAAUCCCCCCAACUCCU
rnacentral:tRNA from 1 species